UGCAACGUGUAGCAUUUGGGCCAGUUA
rnacentral:piRNA from 1 species